UGCGUCGUCUGCAUUUACUAUUUUUCUGUCAUUUUAGUGUAUACAUUUAAAGUACCACGUACAUUUUUAAUGUUAAUCUUAUUUCACAAUUAUUCUCGAUUACGAUAUUUAAUUGAUUGAAGUAUUUCAGUGUUUGUUAUUAGAGAUUUUAAUAUACUAAGUUAUUGAGUUAGAAUCAUUUUAAUUUGGUGUAUUUUUGUGCAGAUAUCAAAUUCAGAUGUGAUGGGCCAGAGUUUGAGCAGUGAUCUUGAUUCAGUUGAUAAUCUACCAGAUGAGCUAUUCCGCCAAGCCAGACAUUUAUCAGAGGUUGCUACUCUAACAUACGAAGAAUUCCAAGAAUAUCUCAAGCAGUUAAAUGAAUUAUCCCAGAAGUGCAUGGACUCUGAAGGCAAGCAGUUGGUGUUUGCUGUGAAAGAAGGUUCUGAUGCCUCUGUUUUAUGGAAAGGCACGAUCCGAAUAGCUUGUGUUAAAAUUGAUCCAGCAACUAAGAAUGUUGAAACGUAUCGCCUUUUGAACCUCAAUCAGUUUUUAAAGGUGUACAAGUCAAUGAGCAGUCAGUGUGCAGCAGCACAAGAAGGUUCUACUGCUGACCCAUCUACCAGUGAUAUCAAACAACUGACAACCUCAGUGCUGCUGAGGCACGUGUCAGGCCAGACAUCUGACUCAGCUGCUGAGUGUUGCAUCUGUCUGGAGCGGAGACCAGACAUGCUGUUACCUUGCGCUCAUGCGUACUGCCGUCCUUGUAUCGAACAGUGGUCUGUGAACCACAAGACUUGUCCGAUAUGCCGUGAGGAGGCGAACAACGAUGAAGCAUGGGUGAUGAGUGAAGCUCCCAACUCGCUAGAGAUGAGUGAGGAAAUCUGUUCCACACUGAUGGAACUGGUGGAGAGACAGCCUAGUACAGAUGAUACGGAUGACAGCCAUUGAGUCUUAUGAUUUUUGGGUUCACAAAAGUUUAAUGCAAAUAAGUGGAAACUCGGCAAACACACAUGUUUUUGUGCUAUCAGUACCCACUACUUCAAACCAAAGCAUCAUUGCUAUUGUGUCAGCACGCCACAACUAUUUUGCAACAUCAUGAAUAAUUCGAGUAAUAUGAAGGAAAUCUUGAGUGGCAUCUUACUUCGUAAAUGAUUUUUAAUGGUUGAUUAAAUAAAUUUUGCUGAUUUAACUACCUGAAUCCCUGGUGAAAAUGUAACAUCUUCUCUAUGUAUCAUUAUCGUCAAGAAUUCAGAAAAUUAACAUCACACCCUCGUACCUAGUGAAGUAGUAUCAUUCAACCCUUCAAGUGCCAAUUGAAAGUGCCUGAUAUAAAGAGCCAUUUUCUAUCGUUUUUCAAAAGUAUUUUUUUUUUAUUUAAAAAAAUAUAUAUUUACUUAAAAUUUAGAUGUAUUAGAAAUAAUUGUUUCACAAGCACUUAUACAUAGCUAUGAUGUAUAAAACAUUAUAUAUUAUAAAUCAGUAUUUGCCUAGUUAAAUGUUUUGAAAAAUGUGUUUAAGAGAUGGUGUGUAUUUCUCAAAAAAUGAUAAUGUAAAAGGUUAAGAUUCAGAUAAAUUAUUGAAGAUUAAUUUGGAAGUACUUGUAUAUUACAUAAGUUAUGUACACUUAUAGUUUCAAAAUGUGCUCAUGAAAUAAGUAUGUUUCAACUACCAUCAAUCAUAUAUACGAUUUUUUACCCCGUACUAGUCUGACUGAUCUCUGAUAACAGCAAAAGAUUAGGACUACAUAUUUAAUAUGCCUAUAUGUAUUGAUAGUAGUUAAUUGAUAAGUGCUUUUUCAGCCUCAGACUAUAGAUGACGUUCACUUAGUUCAAUGAAAAUUUGCCAUGAAACAUAUAUGAUGUAUGUGGUAAUCAACCUACUAAUAAAAAUAUAUAUCUAAAAUAGCCAUAAUGUUUUAAAUUUUAUUUAGUUUUAGAAAAUUAAUAAUGCUAUAUUGUAUGGAAGAAAAAUUCAAUAAAACUGUAAAUUAAGACCAUGAAUCGUACAAAAAAUGGUAAAUUUAUACCAAUAGGAAACAUUGUUCAGUAAACUUUUUUUAAAUGUUUUAUAUUUACGUUAAAAAUAAGUUAUAUUUUCAUAACAAUUGUAUAAUCAAAAACAAAAAUAUUUGUAUAAUCAUUACCUGGUAUCCUUCAGGGAACAGCUUGGUUGUGCAAAGGUGUAAUAAUGUCCAGAAUAACAGAUUUCUAAAAUACACAAUUUCUUCUUCUAUAAGUUUUAAUUUCGUGAAUAUAUUUAUUCUUUUGUUUUUAUACGAAUAAAUGACAAUUUGGUUAUAACACUGAAAUUUGGGUACAAUCUGGAGUCCAUAAAGUGCAUAGUCAUUUUUAAAAGCUAAAUAUAAAUGAAAACAAUGUCCUCAUGAGAUACAAAAACAUAUCAUUUACUAAAUUUAUUAUGAUAUAUAUCUAUAUAUAUUAUUUAUAUAUAUAAUAUUAUUAUAUAUGUUAUAUAUAUAAUAUAUAUUGAAUCGAAAAAAGUACUUGCUCCGCCGGGAGUCGAACCCGGAUCUCUCACUUGCCGGGUGAAUGUGCUACCAUUACACCACAGAGCGCUUACUUUUUCCGAUUCAAUUAUUUUGUAUUUGGCCGUAUCUGUCACAUAUGCGUCAUAUGUCAUAUAUACAUACAGUGGUUAUACAUAAUUAUAGUCAUAUACAAGUGCAUAUUUCAUACUAGACCAAUGCCAGAAAUAAGGAAUGGUUAAUAAUACUAAAACUACUGUAUUUAUAUAGUUUAAAUGCACAAAUAUCAUAUAUUUUAUUAUUAGACUAUUUUAAUUUCAUAAAUUGAAAUAAUGAUGAAUCAGCAACAUUGUGCAGUGAUAUAUUAAUCGCUACAGUCAAACUUAUUCACAAUGUGUGCCAUUUUAAAAUUAAGUUUAAUAAUAGUAAUAAUGUUAUGGUCCUCAUAAAAAUGGGUACGGAUCUAACAUUUGACGACAUUUGAGAAACAAUCAGAGAUCAUUGCCACUUUGAUAGUGAGUCUUCAUAACCACAGAUGAUCUUACUUUUACUCUUACAGUAGAUUCUCUAAAAUUAUGGAGUUGUCACCUGUUAACGAAAAUGGGAUUCUAUGAUGGGAACAGCUUUCCAACAUUCUCACUAAUGCUGCUUAAAAUUCUACUUCUCAUACUAUCUUACAUCUAACUAUACGAUAUACCUAAGUUUAAUAUACCAACAUAAUGUUUAACACUCUGGUUACAAGAAAAAAUUUGUCUUUGUGUCUGAGGAAUACCAGAGACUUUUACCCAGUGAUUACCGAAUAAUAAUGGGCUCUUUUUAGUCUGUUUUGCACUAUUUUACAUUUUUGCCUGUAACAGCCUUAUUUUUUUGGUAAAAAUUAACGAUUCUUUUUUAUACAACAAAUGUAAAAUUAAAAGUAAUAAUUAGACAUGUACUUACCAAAGAUAAAAAAUAGAUUUACCUUUUUUUUUGUAAGAAGAACGUUCUUUACAACAAUUUCAGAUGCAAAAUGUUUUAUUGCAUUAGACACUGCUGAUAAAACUGUACACAAUCACCAUUUUUUAUUGGUUUUACAUUAUAAGUAUAAUAUUUAUGAUACUUUAAAAAUAUUGUGUAAGUUUUAUAUUUCAUACAUUUUUUAUGUAGACAAUUUGAAAUAUAUUCACAAUCACAAAUAUGUAUGCAUAUGAAGUAUAUAUAAUUAAUUUAAUUGAAAAGUAAAAAAAUACAAAAAUAAUAUUGGAAACAUGUUAAUAUCCAGACAUCAACUAGUAUUUUUCAGUAGUUACAGGCAAAUCUAUAUAACAGGACAUUAAAAUUUUUCAGUAUUUCUUCACAUAUCCGAAUAUCCAGCAUUAGUACACAAGGGGUUAAUACAAAAUUUGUUGAGUUUCAGUGAUGACUGUAAUAUUAAUUCUAUGAAAUAAAUUUGCUGUAUCUGUUGAGCCUGGCAAGGUUUGUUGUAUCCUUAGUUAUUAAAAAAUUAAUAACAUAUUAUUAUUAUAGUGCAUAUUGUAUUAAAAAUUUGUUAAAAUGUAAAUAUUUCAAUAAAUUUAUUUUUUAAUUAUGA